GACAGAGGAUGCAAGCGUUAUCCGGAAUGAUUGGGCGUAAAGCGUCUGUAGGUGGCUUUUCAAGUCCGCCGUCAAAUCCCAGGGCUCAACCCUGGACAGGCGGUGGAAACUACCAAGCUGGAGUACGGUAGGGGCAGAGGGAAUUUCCGGUGGGGCGGUGAAAUGCGUAGAGAUCGGGAAGAACACCAACGGCGAAAGCUCUCUGCUGGGCCGACUCUGACACUGAGAGAAGA
rnacentral:rRNA from 1 species